CCUCGAAACCCCCCUCGGCCCAAUCCAAUCGCCCGCACGCCGCAACCCUUCCUCCCUCCUUGAUCUCUCUCUCUCUCAGCCGCCACGAACCCUAGCCCCUUUUCCUACGAUCCCGCGGUCGCUGCCCUUGCUCCAUCCGACCUCCCUCGUCAGCCGCCGCCGCUAUGGCUCCUCCGUCCUCCGACUAUGUCUCCGCAAUUCAUCCUCCAUCCCUUUCUGCUCGAGGUGCUCAUCGGCCCAGGUCGUGAGGAAGCCGCGUGAGGAGGAGCCCAGGUCGCGAAGCCGCGUGAGGAGGAGAGACCUCGCCCGAGAAGCUGUGGGAGGAGGGCCUCAACCAGAGAGGAGCGGCUGCCAGCCAUGUAGUCGGCUCAGCUCGACGCCGUCCUUGGCGUCCGGGCCGCGGCAGACCCUAGCGCCAUCCUUCAGGAGUCUUCACGACCUCCAGGUGCGCAUCUUUCAGGAUUUAAUAAUGAGUUAUCUUGGGCUUCAUUGGACAAAUGAUCUACCUGGAGCAAUGAUACAGGUAAAUUAUUGAUGCAUCUGAGCUGCUCUAUCUUAUUGUUCAUCUACUGGACUGGUUUUAGUUGAUAAUAAAUUGUUCUCUAUUUCAAAGAGCAACAACACGAGAUUGUGCGCUGUCUUGCUCCAGCAUACAAUGCGCCAGGUUCUACUGCAACAGUACGACAUACAAAGUGAUGGAGGAGAGGUGUUCAGAGAAAGAGUUAUACAUGUGCCAGGUUCUGAAGUAUGAGGAUCCGGUGCGACAGGAAGCAGCUCUGAAUAUGGUUCCUGUAGAUGAACUUAAGGAGAAGGCGCUUAUUUCACUGGCCAAGGAAACAUGUGAAAAAGGUGGGAUCUUUCCGUCGGCUUUCGCAGCUGGCUAUAUGCAUCAUAGAGCAUCUAAUCUGCAUCAACUUUAGCAUGGUGUGGAGCGUCGACCACGGCGAGCUUGGCUAAUGUCAACACGUGAAGCUGGGUCAAGUACAGAAGACGAAACACAAGAUUCAAGAUCACUCUCCUGUAUGUGAUUAUUUACUCAUUUCGAGCCAUUUUGCAACCCAGCUUGACUUCUUUUAUUUUGUGAUCUGAGCUAUACACACCAAAAUUAGCCCACGUAAGUUUGAACCAUAUCUGAACAUGUUAGAUCACUCUCCUGUAUGUGAUGAUUUACUCUAUGGAGCCAUGUUAUGACCUAGCUUGAGUUCUUUUAUUUGCGAUCUGAGCUGCAAAAUAAAAUAAAAAUAGUCCACGUAAUUUGAACCAUAUCUGAACAUUUUAGUAUCUGAAUACUGAAAUUACCAAACAUGAUCUUCACUUCGCCAUGUGUGACACCACUGAGUACUUUAACUAAGCUAGCUGUAGUAAUAUUACGUUUUACAUGGCUAUGCAAGUUAAAGGUUCUAAUAUAGUGUACGUUUAUCGAUAUUUUGUGUUAUACUGAUUAAUAUACUUCACAUAUAAGUUUUAAGCUAAGAGCUCCUAAUAAUUGUUUCUCCUCUUUGCAGUUGCCAUUUUAGUCAUAUUUUUGCUGAGAUAAAGAAUAAUAUUGAGAUGAAUUUCCUUUCCGAUGAUGAGAUUGGGUAUGCCUAUGUUUUGUAUUUUUUUCAGUAUUAUUUUAUUUCAGGCUUCAGUUAGCUGAGAGAGCUAAGAGAUAAUAUGGUAAACAAUUUCUAUCAAGUGGGUGAGCUCCAUUUUUCAAGGUAAGUCAGGUGACAGCCAAAAAUAAAACCAAGGAGAUGAGUCUCUUAUCAGUUGAUUUGAUCUUAUCCAGGUUCUAUUUUCUUUCAGGCUAUGAGUUACGAUGUCUUGGUUAGAGCUACUACAUUCAAAGAGUAAAUCUGUUUCGUUGUACUGAAUUUAUGUACAUUGUAUGAAAAAGGUGCAUCUAUUAUGCCCUGUAGAAUUUUCAGCUGAGCAAUUGUGUAGACUUACAAAGCUAUCAUGACAGAUGUUAGUGAUUUCUGUAUUGGGGCCAUGUUACAUCUCUAGGGUUGAAUUAAUGGCUAGAAAUUCAGAGUUACAUAGCUGAAAACAGGGUUGCAAGCUGCUUAUUCAGUAUUUUUAACACUCAUGGAAAAGGUAUAUGCUCAUCCUAAAUUUCAAAUUAUUAUUAUAUCACAUAACUGAAAGUGCAUUAGACCAAUGGUGUUAUCAGAAAUAAAUUUCUGCCCCAUAGCUGAACCGUGUCUUUUCUCAGUGUGUAUAUAUGUUAGAGAUGUGUAUGAUUCAGAUAAUUUUCUUCAUUUGUUAACUUUACCAAUGUAUGGCUGACAUGCUUCAUUAUGUUAUAUCACAUCUGAAAGUGCAUUAUACCGGUGGUUUAUUAGAAUGGAUAAUUUCGGUCAAAUAAUUGAGUUCUUUUCUUCGGUGUAUAUACAAGUUACAGAUGUGCAUGAUUAUGUUUAUUCUCUACAUUUGGUAAAUUCACCUAUGUAUGGCUGACAUACUUCUUCAGGUUAUGUUUCUAAAGCUCCAUGCUUAAUCAUCCAGAAUGUUUCCAAGUGACUGCUUUACACAUGGGAGACUGGAUGCAUGGAGGAGUUCAAAGAAGCUGGUGUUAUGUUACAUAUGGUCUUCAAGCUGAUGUUAUGUUUCUUCCAUGGUUUGUAUAUUUGUUGCAAAAACAUAGUACAAGAAAAAGAUCUAUGCUCAUGAAGAUGGCAGAAGGGAACUACAUGUGCAACAAGAACCACCAACGCUGACCAGUUGGGCGUUUGGAUAGUGGUAGUGCACAAAAAUUGCUUGCCGUAUAGAGUCAAUGUAAUCUACUACUAGCCCACUUGCUGAUUUUUAUGUUAUGAAAUUAUAGUUCAACCAUAGUAUGUAUUUACACUCCUGCUGUGAGAUUGUACUAUAUAAAUUAUGGGAGGACAAAGUAGGCCUUUAUAUGCAAAUAACUCCUUGUUGAAA